rnacentral:lncRNA from 1 species
GCGGGGGGCUGUUAAAUUAAACAGCCCAUUGACUUGAGCACAACAAAGGUUUGUUUCUUUCACCUCACAGCCCAAUUCAGAUUCAGGAGAGAGAGUCUGAGGGAUUUGUUCCAUGUAGCCAUCGGUGGUCUGAGCGUCUUUAGCUGAGUGCCUCUGCUUUCUACCUUGGCCUUAGCCUUCUGCAUGGGAUGAGCUCCAUCAGCGCAGUGGAGAGUGAAAAUGAGACAGCUGCUGCUCAGGCUGAUGCAGGUGAUGCACCUUGGGGACCAGACAUCACUGUGAGCAAAGCAAGCAUCGUCACCUGAUAUGAGGCAAGAGCUGUGUCUUGGGCAGUUUGGGCCUGAUUUCCUUUCUCUACUUCUGGGGUUUGCAG